rnacentral:rRNA from 1 species
AAGCGCUUGCAACCAGAUUCGGCGGCGGGGAUUCAGCGGGUAUUCUUACCUGUGUACUUCCCCGUUCGCUGGGCUAGCAUCGGUUCCGACGGCUGGUCAAAGGCUCCCGGAAUGUGUCACCCUCCGGGGUGUCUUAUAGCCGGGAGUGCAAUGCAGUCAGUCGGGACCGAGGAACGCGCUUCGGCUCGGAUGCUGGCAUAAUGGUUGUAAGCGG